rnacentral:rRNA from 1 species
AUGAAACCUCAAACGGAAAAACUCAAUUCAUCACAACAAGAUAGAGAGGGAAGAACACCAUAUGAUCCAACUAUAUUAACAAAGCUCGCGGUAUAUCAAGAUCGUGCCAAAUCAAGAUCAAGAGAGAGAGAUCAAACACAUAGCUACUGGUACAUACCCUCAGCCCCGAGGGUGAACUACUCACACAUCACCAUGAUAACGGAGGAGAAGUUGGUGGUGAUGGUGAUGGAGGAGAUGUCCCCGACGGUGUUCCGGCGCCACCGUAGGAGAGGGGGGAGGGACACCUUCUUCUUCUUCCUUGGCCCUCCGGGGAAGGAGGGAGUUCUCCCCUAG